CUACGUGCCAGCAGCCGCGGUAAUACGGAAGGUCCAGGCGUUAUCCGGAUUUAUUGGGUUUAAAGGGAGCGUAGGCUGGAGAUUAAGUGUGUUGUGAAAUGUAGACGCUCAACGUCUGAAUUGCAGCGCAUACUGGUUUCCUUGAGUACGCACAACGUUGGCGGAAUUCGUCGUGUAGCGGUGAAAUGCUUAGAUAUGACGAAGAACUCCGAUUGCGAAGGCAGCUGACGGGAGCGCAACUGACGCUUAAGCUCGAAGGUGCGGGUAUCAAACAGGAUUAGAUACCCUGGUAGUCCGCACAGUAAACGAUGGAUGCCCGCUGUUGGUACCUAGUAUCAGCGGCUAAGCGAAAGCAUUAAGCAUCCCACCUGGGGAGUACGCCGGCAACGGUGAAACUCAAAGGAAUUGACGGGGGCCCGCACAAGCGGAGGAACAUGUGGUUUAAUUCGAUGAUACGCGAGGAACCUUACCCGGGCUUGAAC
rnacentral:rRNA from 1 species